rnacentral:rRNA from 1 species
UACGGGGGGAGCAAGCGUUGUUCGGAUUUACUGGGCGUAAAAGGCGCGUAGGCGGCGCAACAAGUCACUUGUGAAAUCUCCGGGCUUAACCCGGAGCGGCCAAGUGAUACUGUCGUGCUAGAGUGCGGAAGGGGCUACUGGAAUUCUCGGUGUAGCGGUGAAAUGCGUAGAUAUCGAGAGGAACACCUGCGGCGAAGGCGGGUAGCUGGGCCGACACUGACGCUGAGGCGCGAAAGCCAGGGGAGCGAACGGG